rnacentral:lncRNA from 1 species
CUUGAAGAAAUAGACAGGCUAUUGAAGUUUCUUGAUGUUGACUUAUCAGAAGAAUUAAAGAAAGAUAUUAUACACAUGUGUGGUUUUGAGAAUAUGGCCAACAAAACGAUGCCCAGUGAUAUGGAAAAGGUGUUUUUCAAGCAAGACUUCAAGUUUUUCAGGAAAGGUCGUGUGGGUGAUUGGAAGAAUUGGUUUACAGUAGCACAGAAUGAAAAUUUCGAUGAAAUCUGG